rnacentral:rRNA from 1 species
UCGCGGUAAUACGUAGAAGACAAGUGUUAUUCAUCUUUAUUAGGUUUAAAGAGUACCAAGACGGUUAAUAAAGCCCAAAAGAAAUGAAUACGGGGGACAUAUUAACUAGAGUUAUAUGAAAGGAAGCUCUAAGGUACUGUUGAGUGGAGAGAUGAAAUUUGAUUAUACCAGAUGAGUGGCACAGAUUUAUGCGAAGGCAUCUUCUUAUGUAAUAACUGACGUUGUAGGACGAAGGCUUGGGAAGUAAACAGGAUUAGGUACCCCAGUAAUCUGCAGAAAAUGAUGAAUGUCAUAGGCUCAUUAAAUAUACCAUAUUUCUCGUUAGGGCUGAUAAAAAGUAAAUGGAUUAUAUUAGGGUCUAUAAAUGAAAGUGUAAGCAUUCCACCUCAAGAGUAAUUUGGCAACAUUGGAACUGAAAUCAUUAGACCGUUUCUGAAACCAGUAGUGAAGUAUGUUGUUUAAUUAGAUGAUACACAAAAACCUUACCACAACUUGAAUAUAUAUAAAAUAUAUUUACAAGCGCUGCACGGCUGUCUACAGUUAAUGUCGUGAGACUUUGGUUAGCUCCAUUAAAUUGACGUAAACCCAAUUUUAUUUAUAAAUAUAAUUAAC